GCCAAGUGGAAAUGCAUAAUUUAUUGCUGCCACGCAUAAGCUAGUUUAAGGAUCCCAAGGCUUUUUCUUGUUUGCUCAACUAAAAUAUUUCCACAUACGACCUUGUGUACAACCGAGGAAAAAGUGUAGUACAGUCAUAGUCAAUUAAUCAAUCACGUUUCAGUUUAGUUCAGCACAUAUUUAUACAAUGUAUAAAUUUUCUUAUGUGUUUUGAAGGGUACAGAAGUAAUUGAAGACACCGAGAUUUAAAGAAGAAAAAUACUUAAGCAUCAACAUUUGUUUCCAGACUCAUCCUUCACCAAAUAUUUUAGCAUGUUUGCCUUGCCCAGUUAAGAGUAUUUUGGCCACAUUUCCCAACUCUAAGUCCUGGAAUGUUUCUGCCCACUUCUUAGCCCUGUAAACAUUUCCUUCAAUACAUGAUUCCAGGGUGUUUUCCCCAGCUGGUGAAUAGAUUCAUUUACUGCAUUUCGUAUAUACACUUCAUAAAAAUGUAUUAUAAAACUUAUCAUGGAAUGUGGUUGUUAUUGGUUUAGGUAAAAGUGUCAUCCAGUAAACUGUGAGUUCCUGGGCCUGAGAAAGAUGUCUUAUUCUGCUCAAGAAAUAGAAAGUGUGUUAGUAUUGAAAUAGUAAACACUGUGAGAAUUGAAAAGGAAAUUAUAAGGUUGUAAAUAUAUGCAGAAAAAUGUACAGAACAAUGAUUCUUAAACUUUAGUAUCUACCCCUCUAUGCCUUGGUUUUCUUAUCUCUAAAAAAUGUAUUAAUGAUAUAAUUUAUAUAAUUAUAAGAAUAAAAUGAGUUAAAACAAGAAAUUAAGUCAAAAAGUGGUCUGGAACUAGUUGAAGAGUUAAAACUUGAAAGAGAACAGUACUAACACAUGGGAAGUGUUCAAAAAGUAUAACAAUAAUAUAAUAGUGGUGAUGGUGGUGAUGAUGAUGAUGGUGAUAAUGAUGAUGGUAUCUGUAAAUUCUUUAGGAAAGUGGUUAACAAAUUAUUUGAGUGGGUGAAUAUUGACAGAAUUUAGUUUAGUUUUAGCUUCUGUUCUGCCAUGAGCUAGCUGUAUAACUUGGGUAAAAUAGUACACUUCUAAAUCUUAGGAUUUCUAUCUGUAAAAUGAGAGGUUUGGAAAAUGCUUUUGCUAAGGUUUCUUCCCAACUUAAUGUCUUUUUUUAUUGUAUAAGCAUAUUUCCUGCAUUGAAUGUAGCCCAUUUAUUUGUGAUUUUAAGGUAGAAUAUUGAUCAUCAGAGAUUUCUCCCAAAGUGGAUCAUCACAGAUUUUUAAGUUGUUAUUCUUUAGAGUGGGGCUAGGAUAAAUAAUAGAGCUGUUACUUAAUAUGGAGGCCAAUGGUGUAACAAAACAGGAGGGAGCAGUGAGAAGAAUAGCUUACCUAGUUGAUAAGUUUUCCUCCCACCAGCAGGAAAAAAAAUAAUUAUUUGCUAAUAAUAGCAAAUGUUAGUACAACUGGCACUGCUAGGGCCUGAACUACUACUUUGUUAAAUAAAAUGAGAUUAGCAAACUGACCUCAAAAUUUUCUUUCUGCAAGUUGUCAAAUACCCCACUAUAGGAGAAAAUGUAUUUUUCUGUUAACCAAAUUAGAGUAAGAGCAAUUCCAGAUGAUUAUUAUGAUCUCUACAAAAUCAAUAAAUUGCUUUAUUUCGUUUCCCACUUUUUCUUUGUCUCUAUUCAUCCUUGUCUCUUUCGGAGGGGGGAGUUUAGAGGCUGAUUUCAGCAGAAUACAUGCCUGCAUUGUGAGAGCUACAUAUCUGGCCCACUACUGCUCCCUCUUCUGACCCAGUUUCCUCCCUUCCACAAUAGUUGUGAACUACCAAUUGCCCUCUGUUUCUUUUUUUUUUUUAAUUAAAUUCCUAUAGCUAAUCCAUUUUCAAGACCUGACCAUUCUUUUUUUUUUGAUGUAUCACAACAUCUCCCCCAACCCCCCUCCUAUUUUUCUACUGUAGCCGUUGGCUUUCAGUUCAGGUCACUAAUAUAUCACUUACAGUUUUCUGCACUGGUCUUAGUUCAAUUCAGUUUAGUAAGCAUUCAGUGACUACCUACUGUAAACAAACCUGCAUAUUGGCCAAAAUAAGCUAACUGACAAAUAGCACAACAUAAGCCCACUGUGGUUUCUACCUAGGGUUCCUCAAUCAUUACAUUUUGUCUCUAAGGGGACCGUUAGAAAUAUUCCAUUCAAGCACAUUCAAAUAGGGCUUUGUGAGGUGAUGAAAAUACUCUGCAUGUGUGACUACUGAGCACUUGAAAUGUGUCUAAUACCACUGCUGCACUAAAUUUUUAAUUUAAUUUUAAUGUAAAUAGCUAUACUACUGGCAAAUCUAAUAUGGAUUUUAUACCUGAGGAAACACACCUAAAAGGUUAAAGUUACUAGUCCAAGAUCACAUGGCUAUAAAACUUCUCAGUCAUGGUACACUUUCUUUUUCUUUCUAUACACACACCGAGAGAGAGAGAGAGAGAGAGAGAGAGAGAGAGAGAGAGAGAGAGAGAGAGAAAUAGUGAGAGACCGAUGUUGCAGCUUGAGUCUGAAGGCAGGCUGGAGGCAGAAUGGGGACUUGUCUUUUUCUGUUAAGGUUUUUGACAGAUUGGAUGAGGGCCACUCACAUUAUGAAGGAUAAUCCACUUUACUUGAAGUUGAUGAUUUAAAUGUUAAUUUUAUCUAAAAAAUACCUUCAACAGGACAUCUAGUCUAGUGUUUGAUCAACUAUUUGUGUACCAUAGGUUAGCCAAGUUGAUACAUAAUGUUAACCAUCCCAUGCUCCAAAAUUGAGGACUGUUUGGGGAUAUAUUAUCUAAAUGCAAUGAAGCCAUCCAUGCUGCUAUGUCCUAGGAUUUCAGUGAUUUUCUUUGAGUGUGUGGCUUUAUAAAUACGAUAUUGUAAUAUUUCACUUGAAAUUUCUAUUGCAUAGCUAGAGAAAACAUGACACCUCACGAAAGACACAUUGUUAUGAAUAUGGGUAUUCAAUGGGUAUUCACUUAGUCUGCAAUGAUUGUUUCUUUUCAAAAAGUUGCAUUAUCUGGCUUUUGUUUGCAUGACCUAAUAUCACCCUCUAAUUAAGUCAGAAUGACAUAUUAAAAGAGAUUGAAGUAAAUAAAUUAUAUUUGUGAAUAUGACUAUAAUAGGUGUAUGAUUUGCCCUCCCAUCUUCCUCCUGCCCCUAUAAGAAAACAAGACACAGGAAAGAGAACAUCCCCACCUAUGUUUCAGAUCAUCCCCAUUCUUUUUCUAACUCCAUCCCUCUUCAUCACCAAAACAAUUUUCAAACACAAUAAACAGCAUGUGUCUUAAGCAAAGCAAAGUAGAAACACGUUAGGAUUUCUUGGAGUUUCCAUUUUACAGUAUUAAUCUUUUUAUGUAAACUUUUAGCAUCUCUGUAUUUACAGCACUACCAGGUAAAAUAUAAAUGCAUCUGGCUCUUCCUAUGCAUCGGAGUACCCUAUGUCCAGUUUUCAUAUGUCAAGUAUCAGCACCUGCACUAAAUAAAUAAUAAAACGAAUUCAGAGACUCAAUAUUUAU
rnacentral:lncRNA from 1 species